rnacentral:lncRNA from 1 species
GAUCAGACUCCGAAUGGAUUUCUGGCCGUUGGAUUGAGCUCAGAUUUUUUCUUUUCAAUCGAUAAUGAACAGCAGCCAUCUGAUCUCCUUCAGAAUCGAUAUCAGCCAUUGGAUUGAGAAAAGUUUCUUUCGCCCACUUGUGAACCACAUCGUGCACCGCAAAAUAUUCUCGGUGGACCGUGCCAUUGCAUUCGUGGAU